rnacentral:rRNA from 1 species
AUUGAACGCUGGCGGCAGGCUUAACACAUGCAAGUCGAGCGGAGAUGAGGUGCUUGCACCUUAUCUUAGCGGCGGACGGGUGAGUAAUGCUUAGGAAUCUGCCUAUUAGUGGGGGACAACAUUCCGAAAGGAAUGCUAAUACCGCAUACGUCCUACGGGAGAAAGUAGGGGAUCUUCGGACCUUGCGCUAAUAGAUGAGCCUAAGUCGGAUUAGCUAGUUGGUGGGGUAAAGGCCUACCAAGGCGACGAUCCGUAGCGGGUCUGAGAGGAUGAUCCGCCACACUGGGACUGAGACACGGCCCAGACUCCUACGGGAGGCAGCAGUGGGGAAUAUUGGACAAUGGGGGAAACCCUGAUCCAGCCAUGCCGCGUGUGUGAAGAAGGCCUUAUGGUUGUAAAGCACUUUAAGCGAGGAGGAGGCUACUGAGACUAAUACUCUUGGAUAGUGGACGUUACUCGCAGAAUAAGCACCGGCUAACUCUGUGCCAGCCGCCGCCGUAAUAC